AGAUAUUAAUUUCACAAAGGACGGGAAUUCUUGAAAGCCUUUUUCACAGUGUUGGCUACUCCUCUUUCAGGUCUGCACCACAGGAGGAUGCUUUUCCUGGUCUUCCCCACUUUCAGCAUUUCUUGUGAGUAUGCACUGGAUUUUCAUGGAGAACAGCCUGACAGGACCUGCCUACUUCAAAGAGAAAGCUGUCUGGACGAAGGGAUUGCCAUCCAGAGAUGCCUCCAAGAUGAAGCUAACAUAAAGAAAACUACAGUAUACAAAUCUCUCUUUUUCCCCCAACAUUCCAUAUGGGUGAAUUCAAGUAAACAUUGGAUGAAGUCUUGAAAAGACAAUGAUAUGCGCUCUUAUACAGAGAAAAGCCCACACGUAUCAAGCUAUUUACAAGGCAUGACACUUUAGUUUUCUCCUCCCGGUUUACUCUUCUACCUUCUGCAAUGUAUUGUUUUUUUCUAGCUUUUAUUUUAGGUUCAUGGGUACAUGCGUGAGUUUGCUAUAUAGAUAAACUGCAUAUCACAGGGGUUUGCUAUACAGAUUAUUUUGUCAUGCAGGUAGUAAGCAUCAUACCUGAUAGAUAGUUUUCUUUAAUCUUCUUCCUUCCUCCUUCCAUCCUCAAAUAAGACCCAGUGUCUGUUGUUCCCCUCAUUGUGUCUGCAUGACUCAAUGUUUAGCUCCCACUUAUGAGUGAGGACAUGUGGUAUUUGCCUUUCUGACCCUGCAUUAGUUCGCAUAGGAUUAGAACCUCCAGCUGCAUCCAUGUUCUCACUCUGUUUUUAUGGUUGCAUUGUAUUCCAUGGUGUAUAUGUACCACAUUUCUUUGUUCAGUCUUUCACUGAUAGACAUUCAGGUGGAUUCUAUGUUUUUGCUAUUGUGAAUAGAGCUGCAGUGAAUAUGUGUGUGCAUCUGUCUUCAUGGUAGAAUAAUUUAUAUUUCUUUGAAUAUACAUACUCAGUAAUGGAAUAGUUGAGCCAAAUGCCAAUCCUGUUUUAAGUUCUUUGAGACUUUCCCAUACUGCCUCCAUCAGUGGUUGAACUAAUUUACAUUCCCACCAGUGAUAUAUAAGCAUUCCCUUUUCUCUGCAAACUCACCAGCAUCUGCUAUUCUUUUUAUUUUUUAUUAAUAGCCAUUCUGACAAGUAUGAGGUGGUAUCUUACUGUGGUUUUGAUUUGCAUUUCUCUAAUCAUUAGUGAUAUUGAGUAUUUUUCAUAUGUUUAUUGGCUGCAUGCAUGUCUUAUUUUCAAAAGUGUUUGUUCAUGUUCUUUGCCUUUUUAAUGGUGUUUUUUUCUUGUAAAUUUGUUUAACUUACUUAUAGAUUCUGGAUAUUAGACAUUUGUCAGAUGUAUGGUUUGCAAAAAUUAUCUCCAUUUUGUAGGUUAUCUAUUUACUCUGUUGAUAGUUUCUUUUCCUGUGCAGAACUUCGUUAAUUUAAUUACAUUCCAUUUGUCAAUUUUUGGUUUUGUUGCAAUUGCUGAAAGCAAUUUCAUCAUGAAAUCUAGUUCAUCAUGGAAUCUUUGUCAUGAAGUCUAAUUCUGUGAAGAAUGUCAUUGACAGUCUGAUAGAAAUAGCAUUUAGCUUGUAAAUUGAUUUUGGCAAUAUGGUCAUUUCCUAUGCCAGUUCCCGUUCCAGAGCAAAAAGACAUGUUACAAUAAGAUGUUUGCUCUGGGAUGUAGACCAACAUAGAAAACAUCACACAGCCACCUUGCCUUUUAUCUUCUGUUUCUUUGAGCCGAGAGCCCCAGCAGGAUAUGGGGCAGAAUGAUAAAGGAAUAGUAGGGAUGUUUAUUCUCUAGCCCCCACCAUGAGAAACCUCCAGCCCCAGGGAAGAUUGGCAGAAACCUCCAGCCCCAAUGAAGGUCACAGCUUCUCUCAAGGUGGUCCCUGGGCACAAGGUUCUCUACUUCCAACUUAUAGAUACCACUCCCUUUCCUUAUUUCUGCAGGUCAAAACUGAUUACACCUGUUAUGCACCCCAGGAAACAGCCUUCUACUCUCUGAUUUCCAUGUGCUCUUUAAAACUCUUUCAUUUAUUAAAAC
rnacentral:lncRNA from 1 species